GACGAACGCUGGCGGCGUGCUUAACACAUGCAAGUCGAACGGAAAGGCCCUGCUUUUGUGGGGUGCUCGAGUGGCGAACGGGUGAGUAACAUGUGAGUAACCUGCCCUUGACUUUGGGAUAACUUCAGGAAACUGGGGCUAAUACCGGAUAGGAGCUCCUGCUGCAUGGUGGGGGUUGGAAAGUUUCGGCGGUUGGGGAUGGACUCGCGGCUUAUCAGCUUGUUGGUGGGGUAGUGGCUUACCAAGGCUUUGACGGGUAGCCGGCCUGAGAGGGUGACCGGCCACAUUGGGACUGAGAUACGGCCCAGACUCCUACGGGAGGCAGCAGUGGGGAAUAUUGCACAAUGGGCGGAAGCCUGAUGCAGCAACGCCGCGUGCGGGAUGACGGCCUUCGGGUUGUAAACCGCUUUCGCCUGUGACGAAGCGUGAGUGACGGUAAUGGGUAAAGAAGCACCGGCUAACUACGUGCCAGCAGCCGCGGUGAUACGUAGGGUGCGAGCGUUGUCCGGAUUUAUUGGGCGUAAAGGGCUCGUAGGUGGUUGAUCGCGUCGGAAGUGUAAUCUUGGGGCUUAACCCUGAGCGUGCUUUCGAUACGGGUUGACUUGAGGAAGGUAGGGGAGAAUGGAAUUCCUGGUGGAGCGGUGGAAUGCGCAGAUAUCAGGAGGAACACCAGUGGCGAAGGCGGUUCUCUGGGCCUUUCCUGACGCUGAGGAGCGAAAGCGUGGGGAGCGAACAGGCUUAGAUACCCUGGUAGUCCACGCUGUAAACGGUGGGUACUAGGUGUGGGGUCCAUUCCACGGGUUCCGUGCCGUAGCUAACGCUUUAAGUACCCCGCCUGGGGAGUACGGCCGCAAGGCUAAAACUCAAAGGAAUUGACGGGGCCCCGCACAAGCGGCGGAGCAUGCGGAUUAAUUCGAUGCAACGCGUAGAACCUUACCUGGGUUUGACAUGGAUCGGGAGUGCUCAGAGAUGGGUGUGCCUCUUUUGGGGUCGGUUCACAGGUGGUGCAUGGCUGUCGUCAGCUCGUGUCGUGAGAUGUUGGGUUAAGUCCCGCAACGAGCGCAACCCUUGUUCACUGUUGCCAGCACGUUAUGGUGGGGACUCAGUGGAGACCGCCGGGGUCAACUCGGAGGAAGGUGGGGAUGACGUCGAGUCAUCAUGCCCCUUAUGUCCAGGGCUUCACGCAUGCUACAAUGGCUGGUACAGAGAGUGGCGAGCCUGUGAGGGUGAGCGAAUCUCGGAAAGCCGGUCUCAGUUCGGAUUGGGGUCUGCAACUCGACCUCAUGAAGUCGGAGUCGCUAGUAAUCGCAGAUCAGCAACGCUGCGGUGAAUACGUUCCCGGG
rnacentral:rRNA from 1 species